GUAUAAUGACUUUCCUGUCGGAGGAUUGCGCUGUUGAGCCACGUCGCCGGCUGCUGGUGGUCCAGCGGCUUAACGUCCGGCGAGGACUGAGCUAGCUGUUCAGGUAAUAUACUCCUUAAAACUGCUGAAUUUUCAUCAGAAAAAUGGUGCAUAUCCAUUUCUUGUGACAUAUGAUUCGGAUUAUAUGCCAUUAUCAACUUUUAUCGAAACCCAACCUCUACUCACACCAUUUCACAAAUCACAAUGAUGUUUACAUCUGUGUAUAUAAACAACUAAACCAACUCUACUAGCAAAUUGUUCACUGUAUGGUUUAAGAAAUUGAUCUAACUAAUCCUAUUCCACAUAUAUAUGAUUGAAAAUUGAGGUCUUGUACAGGUCUGCAGUUUUAGAAAGUGCAACGACUAAAUAGGUUACAGGUACCACUAUUUAUUUCGAGAAGAAAAUAAACAGAAUACGAAUUGGACUACACGUUAAGUAGAAUAAUCAGAAACCUAUGUACAGGGAUUCAGGAAAAACAAUAUACUGUACUGAUUAUCAGGAUCAUAUAAAGGCUGAAGAAGAAAGCAAGUAUUUAUAAUGUGUAAAUGGAGUUUUUUGAGCAAUGGCCAGAAGAAAGAGGGAAAGAGAAAGAGAGAGAGAAAUAUGGAGAUAAAAAAGGAAGCUUCGGCGUGAAUAUAUGUCUGUGGUUAUGUGUAUUAUGUAUUGUUAUAUACCUGCACAGAUGCGGGGACCAGAACAGAUGAAUGUACUGUGAACAGGAAGAAGGUGGGGUUCACCGGUAAAUAUGUCGGAGGUUGAAUUCCGGUGAACGGAAAAAAUGUCGGAAAAUUGGUGAUGGGAAUUCAGUAGUGGUACCUAAAUCUUGGGAAAGAGGUU
rnacentral:lncRNA from 1 species